rnacentral:rRNA from 1 species
UACGAAGGGGGGCGAGCGUUGUUCGGAAUCACUGGGCGUAAAGGGCGCGUAGGCGGCCCUCUUAGUCGCGUGUGAAAGCCCCGGGCUCAACCUGGGAACGGCGCGCGAAACGGGAGGGCUGGAGUUCGGGAGAGGAGAGUGGAAUUCCCAGUGUAGAGGUGAAAUUCGUAGAUAUUGGGAAGAACACCGGUGGCGAAGGCGGCUCUCUGGACCGAGACUGACCGCU